rnacentral:rRNA from 1 species
GUAGUCCAUGCCGUAAACGAUGAGUGUUCGCCCUUGAGGCGUGGCUUCCGGAGCUAACGCGUUAAGUCGACCGCCUGGGGAGUACGGCCGCAAGGUUAAAACUCAAAUGAAUUGACGGGGGCCCGCACAAGCGGUGGAGCAUGUGGUUUAAUUCGAUGCAACGCGAAGAACCUUACCUGGUCUUGACAUCCACGGAAGUUUUCAGAGAUGAGAAUGUGCCUUCGGGAACCGUGAGACAGGUGCUGCAUGGCUGUCGUCAGCUCGUGUUGUGAAAUGUUGGGUUAAGUCCCGCAACGAGCGCAACCCUUAUCCUUUGUUGCCAGCGGUCCGGCCGGGAACUCAAAGGAGACUGCCAGUGAUAAACUGGA